AGCCGACCCAAGGGCCCCCGCAAGGAGCUGAAGGCGGCUGGAGCCCGAAUCGCCGCCGGCGUCGGCGCAGUCAAAGAAGAUGGCCACAGAGACAGCAGCGUGGUCAGAGUGGUAGGAGCCAGCCAUCGGCGAGAGCUGCUCCGUGCCUGGCUGCUGGGUGCUAGAGCCUGUGGCCCACUGGCUUGCCUCACUGUGAUUGGUGGUGGUGGUGACAGAGACUGCAGCACGACCAGAGUGGCUUUUCUGGCUUUGCCCGCCCAGCUGCUCCGUGCCAGGAGGAGAAGGAGACACCUAGAGCCUGUGACACCAUGACUUGCCUCGCUGCGGGUGGGUGGCAGCAAUGGAGACUGCAGUGCGCCAGAGCGUUCCAGAGUGUAUGAAGAACCAAAUGAUGUAAUUGUAUGUGACCUGGCUGUAGUGAAACAAAUUUGACUCUUAAGUAUGAAGGCUCUAAUUUUCCUGUCUGGUUUUGGUAAGUAUUCCUUACAUAGGUUUUUUCUUUGAAAAUCUGGGAUUGAGAGGUUGAUGAAUGAAAAUUAAUCCUUUCACUUUGUUGUAUAUAGGUUUGCAAUAAUUAGGUCAGAGUG
rnacentral:lncRNA from 1 species